rnacentral:rRNA from 1 species
GCUACAUGCAGUCGAGCGGGGGAAGGUAGCUUGCUACUGGACCUAGCGGCGGACGGGUGAGUAAUGCUUAGGAAUCUGCCUAUUAGUGGGGGACAACAUCUCGAAAGGGAUGCUAAUACCGCAUACGUCCUACGGGAGAAAGCAGGGGAUCUUCGGACCUUGCGCUAAUAGAUGAGCCUAAGUCGGAUUAGCUAGUUGGUGGGGUAAAGGCCUACCAAGGCGACGAUCUGUAGCGGGUCUGAGAGGAUGAUCCGCCACACUGGGACUGAGACACGGCCCAGACUCCUACGGGAGGCAGCAGUGGGGAAUAUUGGACAAUGGGGGGAACCCUGAUCCAGCCAUGCCGCGUGUGUGAAGAAGGCCUUAUGGUUGUAAAGCACUUUAAGCGAGGAGGAGGCUACUUUAGUUAAUACCUAGAGAUAGUGGACGUUACUCGCAGAAUAAGCACCGGCUAACUCUGUGCCAGCAGCCGCGGUAAUACAGAGGGUGCGAGCGUUAAUCGGAUUUACUGGGCGUAAAGCGUGCGUAGGCGGCUUAUUAAGUCGGAUGUGAAAUCCCCGAGCUUAACUUGGGAAUUGCAUUCGAUACUGGUGAGCUAGAGUAUGGGAGAGGAUGGUAGAAUUCCAGGUGUAGCGGUGAAAUGCGUAGAGAUCUGGAGGAAUACCGAUGGCGAAGGCAGCCAUCUGGCCUAAUACUGACGCUGAGGUACGAAAGCAUGGGGAGCAAACAGGAUUAGAUACCCUGGUAGUCCAUGCCGUAAACGAUGUCUACUAGCCGUUGGGGCCUUUGAGGCUUUAGUGGCGCAGCUAACGCGAUAAGUAGACCGCCUGGGGAGUACGGUCGCAAGACUAAAACUCAAAUGAAUUGACGGGGGCCCGCACAAGCGGUGGAGCAUGUGGUUUAAUUCGAUGCAACGCGAAGAACCUUACCUGGCCUUGACAUACUAGAAACUUUCCAGAAUGGAUUGGGCCUUCGGGCUAGAUACGGCUGCAUGGCUGUCGUCAGCUCGUGUCUGUUG